GUUUCGGCCUCCCAGUCUAGCGUGGCACAAGUGGGCGUGUCGACGGCGACUCGGACAAGACCAUGUCCACACAUGAGCAGUCACGGAUUGGUGUGUCCCGCGGACUCCUUGCCUCUCGCAAUCAACCACCGAAGAGGCCAUCCUUCUUAGUCCUGUGCUCAUUCAUAUCUUUAGGCCAUUCUUUUUAGUCAUGUGCAUUGCGUGUGCCAUCUACCCAGCUUUGCAGGAAGUCAACGUACCCUAUGUGCUAGUUCGCCUCACCACAAUGUGGUCGUCGCGCGCACCUUAACGACACAACCCUUGGACCCCGUGCUAGCUGGGCUGCUGAAGUAUCACAAGCUCUCGCGAAUGUAGCAAGCUUCGGGGACUUCGACCCUCAGCCUAGACCUUGGUAGGUCAUUAAGCCACCCUCGUCGAGACAACGGUCGAUCCACCGAUAGGCCCCUCCGCUCCCUGCAGGCAGUCGGGCGCCUAAACAGCACCGACAUCACAAAGGACAUGCUACCUGGUUG
rnacentral:misc_RNA from 1 species